CACCUGAGAGAAAAGAAAAAGAAGAGCAUCUCAUUCUCCUCAUAAAAUUUCAAAAAAGCAAGGAAGGUAUGUAUCCCCUCAAAGAGCAAAGUAGAAUUAGACUUCCACCACCAUUGUUUCCACCAUUGUUACCACCAUCAUCACCAUACACCAUUCAUUCGCCACACAUUCACAUCUUGAUUAAACUUAUUGAUUUGUUUCUUUGGAUCCAUGGUUUGACUAUGCAAUACAUGUCUUGUAAGUAUGUAUACUUUAUUUCCCACCUAUGAGCUCCAGAUAUCAAAGCCUUAUUAGAGUAGGGUG
rnacentral:lncRNA from 1 species